CGCAAUUAAUCACGCUUUAUUAAUAUUAAGAAAGUUUAGUCAAAGUUACGCAAACACAUACUCCGAUUUUGUUUUUAAGAUCGUAAUUAUGUCACGCGAACGUGUACACAAUCACGAUGAUUGAUUUAUUAAUAUCCGCCUAAAGUAUACUAGCUGUGUAUAGUUAUUGAACAUAUAGGCCAAAGAUAGUUUUUAGUUCUUGUUAGUCUCAUUACCCAAAUUCUAUUCGAGCUAAAAUGGUUACUUUACUAGGUCAAUACAGCAGGACAAAGCCAAACCUCCAUUCGCUCCUAUUAGCACCAACUCCAUAGAUCCGAUUUACCUAAUUAAACAAUUUACAUUAAACAUUCAUUAUCUUACCUAAAUGAUGAACAAUAGACAACAGUUAAGUAUUUAAACUAAACUACAACAAAGCAAUUAUAAAAAAAAUAGAAUUAUAACAAAGCAAUACAAGUAAAAACCAUAUUAAUCAACAAAGGAAAUUAAAACGGAAGCCAAGGCAUGAGCAAACUGCAAUGGCAAUUUAAAAAUUAGAAUAAACUAACCCAGCUCUGCCUACAGUAUAAAUCAACCCAAUCAAACAGUAAUAUUCUUAUGCACAAAAUAAGAUACUCCAUAGAACAAAAAUAAACCCAAUCAAACACAACCUUCAUUUAGAAAAAGAAAGCAAAUCAAAUACUACUGAAAGUGAAAACAAAUAGCAUCCUUGGAGCAUUCAAUUUCCUCCUAGAAUUCAAUCAUCGUGUGUCCAUGAUAACCCUAUAAAUAAAUAGAUUCCCCGUAAACUAUAUAUGUGACAUUGAAAAGAAUUAUAAGCUUAUAAAUUAUAAGAGUAUUAAUGAAAAGUUCAAAUAAAUCCUAUCGAAUCCUAAUGGAAACUUUUUAGAACCAACUCAAUACCAAACCAUCACACCGUUUUAAUGCAUCAAUCACAGUUCUAACCCUCUCAAAAUAAUUGUCGAGUUAUUCACAUAGCAGAACCGAUUUGAAUUCUUAAGAAGAGGAACUCAUUUGUUCAUUACCAGAGAAACCCAAUAGCAAAACCAAGCAAAAUACCGAACACGGAUAAUUAGUUCAAGAAACUAUGAGUUAAUUACAAACCAUAACGAGAAACAGUACCUCAGUUUGGUCCGAUAAGAUGACAUAGAUAGCAUGUAAAACUGAAUUUACAAUAACCGAUUCUUCAAUAUAUACAAUGGAAAAAAGAAAAUCUUUGAUGCGGCGGAUAUAAAACGAGCUAACGACCUGAAUCUUCGAACCGGUAAAGGAACCUCAAACUAUUUAAAUUGAAUGAGUUGGACGAACAAUUUCGAGCUGAUUUUCACACUAAUUUGGUGUAGUUUCAGGGCAUUUUUAGAGCUGGGUUUACUGCUGAGUUUGAGCUCCGUUUCGCUGGACUAACUGGGGGGUCACCGGAUUAACUUUCCCGUCAGAUUGAAGGUGAAGGCUGGAUGCGCCGUUGGUCUAUGCGGCUGUGUAUCUAUGUGUAUGUCUAUUAAGAGAUGAAGGAGGAUUUAAAGCCCUUUUUUGAAGGUCUGCUACUGAAGCUUUAAGCCAAAGAAAGAGCAGCCAUGAUUUUUGAACUAGGUUCCUUUUUUGUGUGGUAUCGUGUAUUAUGCUGAAGAUGAUGGGUGGGGUCCUUUUUUGGGUGUUCAGCGGCGGAUCCUUGGUCUAUGGUGGUCGUUUUUUUUGCUGAAGGAGAUGAAUGGAGUGGGGUCUUUUGAUUAGGUUAGGUGCUGCUCUUUUCAGAUUUUUGCGUUAGGUAGUCUAGGUCUCAGAGUCUAUCUUGUGUAUUUUUGGCUGAUUGUAGAGUGUAGGGAUAUAGGUUUUUGUAGGUUUUUUUUAGGUUAAGAGGUAUGGGUCUAGGGAUUAUGAGCUUGGAAAUUAUGGGCUAGAUCUGAAAAUUAGGCCUAAAAAUGGGUCGUUUGAGCCCAAAUUUUAUUCUUUCCCAACGAACGAGACUAAAAAUACGAUCUCAUUUAUUAAUUAAUCCUAUUUAAGUAAAAUAAC
rnacentral:lncRNA from 1 species